rnacentral:rRNA from 1 species
CGCCAGCAGCCGCGGUAAUACGGAGGGUGCAAACGUUGCUCGGAAUCAUUGGGCGUAAAGCGCACGUAGGCGGCGGCAUAAGCGGGAUGUGAAAGCCCAGGGCUCAACCCUGGAAGUGCAUCCCGAACUGUGUCGCUUGAAUCUCGGAGGGGGACAGAGAAUUCCCGGUGUAGAGGUGAAAUUCGUAGAUAUCGGGAGGAAUACCAGUGGCGAAGGCGCUGUCCUGGACGAAGAUUGACGCUGAGGUGCGAAAGCGCGGGGAGCAAACAGGAUUAGAUACCCUGGUAGUCCGCGCUGUAAACGAUGAGUGCUGGACGGUGGAGGAUUUGACCCCUUCGCUGUCGAAGCUAACGCGUUAAGCACUCCGCCUGGGGAGUACGGUCGCAAGACUAAAACUCAAAGGAAUUGACGGGGGCCCGCACAAGC